rnacentral:miRNA from 1 species
CCUCUGGUUUGCCUGGGACUGAAGGGUUUCCUGUGACACAGGACUUUUAGUGCUAAAACAGUCCUGG